GGCGCUGCUAGUUCAGUUGGGAUAGCAUAUGCUGAGGCUGUAGUCCUCGACGCAGAUGUCCUGGGUUCGAUUCCCGGUUACGGGCCA